rnacentral:rRNA from 1 species
GAUGAACGCUGGCGGCGUGCCUAAUACAUGCAAGUCGAGCGAACAGACGAGGAGCUUGCUCCUCUGACGUUAGCGGCGGACGGGUGAGUAACACGUGGAUAACCUACCUAUAAGACUGGGAUAACUUCGGGAAACCGGAGCUAAUACCGGAUAAUAUAUUGAACCGCAUGGUUCAAUAGUGAAAGACGGUUUUGCUGUCACUUAUAGCUGGAUCCGCGCCGCAUUAGCUAGUUGGUAAGGUAACGGCUUACCAAGGCAACGAUGCGUAGCCGACCUGAGAGGGUGAUCGGCCACACUGGAACUGAGACACGGUCCAGACUCCUACGGGAGGCAGCAGUAGGGAAUCUUCCGCAGUGGGCGAAAGCCUGACGGAGCAACGCCGCGUGAGUGAUGAAGGUCUUCGGAUCGUAAAACUCUGUUAUUAGGGAAGAACAAAUGUGUAAGUAACUAUGCACGUCUUGACGGUACCUAAUCAGAAAGCCACGGCUAACUACGUG